UGAACGCUAGCUACAGGCUUAACACAUGCAAGUCGAGGGGCAGCAUGGUCUUAGCUUGCUAAGGCCGAUGGCGACCGGCGCACGGGUGAGUAACACGUAUCCAACCUGCCGUCUACUCUUGGACAGCCUUCUGAAAGGAAGAUUAAUACAAGAUGGCAUCAUGAGUCCGCAUGUUCACAUGAUUAAAGGUAUUCCGGUAGACGAUGGGGAUGCGUUCCAUUAGAUAGUAGGCGGGGUAACGGCCCACCUAGUCUUCGAUGGAUAGGGGUUCUGAGAGGAAGGUCCCCCACAUUGGAACUGAGACACGGUCCAAACUCCUACGGGAGGCAGCAGUGAGGAAUAUUGGUCAAUGGGCGAGAGCCUGAACCAGCCAAGUAGCGUGAAGGAUGACUGCCCUAUGGGUUGUAAACUUCUUUUAUAAAGGAAUAAAGUCGGGUAUGCAUACCCGUUUGCAUGUACUUUAUGAAUAAGGAUCGGCUAACUCCGUGCCAGCAGCCGCGGUAAUACGGAGGAUCCGAGCGUUAUCCGGAUUUAUUGGGUUUAAAGGGAGCGUAGAUGGAUGUUUAAGUCAGUUGUGAAAGUUUGCGGCUCAACCGUAAAAUUGCAGUUGAUACUGGAUAUCUUGAGUGCAGUUGAGGCAGGCGGAAUUCGUGGUGUAGCGGUGAAAUGCUUAGAUAUCACGAAGAACUCCGAUUGCGAAGGCAGCCUGCUAAGCUGCAACUGACAUUGAGGCUCGAAAGUGUGGGUAUCAAACAGGAUUAGAUACCCUGGUAGUCCACACGGUAAACGAUGAAUACUCGCUGUUUGCGAUAUACAGCAAGCGGCCAAGCGAAAGCGUUAAGUAUUCCACCUGGGGAGUACGCCGGCAACGGUGAAACUCAAAGGAAUUGACGGGGGCCCGCACAAGCGGAGGAACAUGUGGUUUAAUUCGAUGAUACGCGAGGAACCUUACCCGGGCUUAAAUUGCAGAUGAAUUACGGUGAAAGCCGUAAGCCGCAAGGCAUCUGUGAAGGUGCUGCAUGGUUGUCGUCAGCUCGUGCCGUGAGGUGUCGGCUUAAGUGCCAUAACGAGCGCAACCCUUGUUGUCAGUUACUAACAGGUUCCGCUGAGGACUCUGACAAGACUGCCAUCGUAAGAUGUGAGGAAGGUGGGGAUGACGUCAAAUCAGCACGGCCCUUACGUCCGGGGCUACACACGUGUUACAAUGGGGGGUACAGAGGGCCGCUACCACGCGAGUGGAUGCCAAUCCCAAAAACCUCUCUCAGUUCGGACUGGAGCCUGCAACCCGACUCCACGAAGCUGGAUUCGCUAGUAAUCGCGCAUCAGCCACGGCGCGGUGAAUACGUUCCCGGGCCUUGUACACACCGCCCGUCAAGCCAUGGGAGCCGGGGGUACCUGAAGUGCGUAACCGCGAGGAGCGCCCUAGGGUAAAACUGGUA
rnacentral:rRNA from 1 species